rnacentral:rRNA from 1 species
GAUGAACGCUGGCGGCGUGCCUAAUACAUGCAAGUCGAGCGAACGGACGAGAAGCUUGCUUCUCUGAUGUUAGCGGCGGACGGGUGAGUAACACGUGGAUAACCUACCUAUAAGACUGGGAUAACUUCGGGAAACCGGAGCUAAUACCGGAUGAUAUUUUGAACCGCAUGGUUCAAAAGUGAAAGACGGUCUUGCUGUCACUUAUAGAUGGAUCCGCGCUUCAUUAGCUAGUUGGUAAGGUAACGGCUUACCAAGGCAACGAUGCAUAGCCGACCUGAGGGGGGGGUCGGCCACACUGGAACUGAGACACGGUCCAGACUCCUACGGGAGGCAGCAGUAGGGAAUCUUCCGCAAUAGGCGAAAGCCUGACGGAGCAACGCCGCGUGAGUGAUGAAGGUCUUCGGAUCGUAAAACUCUGUUAUGAGGGAAGAACAUAUGUGUAAGGAACUGUGCACAUCUUGACGGUACCUAAUCAGAAAGCCACGGCUAACUACGUG